GAUGAACGCUGGCGGCGUGCCUAAUACAUGCAAGUCGAGCGAACGGACGAGAAGCUUGCUUCUCUGAUGUUAGCGGCGGACGGGUGAGUAACACGUGGAUAACCUACCUAUAAGACUGGGAUAACUUCGGGAAACCGGAGCUAAUACCGGAUAAUAUUAUGAACCGCAUGGUUCAAAAGUGAAAGACGGUCUUGCUGUCACUUAUAGAUGGAUCCGCGCUGCAUUAGCUAGUUGGUAAGGUAACGGCUUACCAAGGCAACGAUGCAUAGCCGACCUGAGAGGGUGAUCGGCCACACUGGAACUGAGACACGGUCCAGACUCCUACGGGAGGCAGCAGUAGGGAAUCUUCCGCAAUGGGCGAAAGCCUGACGGAGCAAUGCCGCGUGAGUGAUGAAGGUCUUCGGAUCGUAAAACUCUGUUAUUAGGGAAGAACAUAUGUGUAAGUAACUGUGCACAUCUUGACGGUACCUAAUCAGAAAGCCACGGCUAACUACGUG
rnacentral:rRNA from 1 species